rnacentral:rRNA from 1 species
UACAGAGGUCCCAAGCGUUGUUCGGAUUUACUGGGCGUAAAGGGCGCGUAGGCGGCCACCGCAAGUCGACUGUGAAAUCUCCGGGCUUAACCCGGAAAGGUCAGCCGAUACUGCGGGGCUAGAGUGCAGAAGGGGCAACUGGAAUUCUCGGUGUAGCGGUGAAAUGCGCAGAUAUCAGGAAGAACACCCGUGGCGAAGGCGGCUCUCUGGGACGGUAUUGACGCUGAGGUGCGAAAGCGUGGGGAGCAAACAGG